AAGAGACGUGCCCUUCGGGGUAUACCUCCCACCCUUUGUUUAUUAUACCUUUGUUGCUUUGGCGGGCCCGUCCUCGGACCACCGGCUUCUGCUGGUCAGUGCCCGCCAGAGGGCCUAAAACUCUGUUUGUUAAUAUUGUUCUGAGUACUAUAUAAUAGCUU
rnacentral:misc_RNA from 1 species